rnacentral:rRNA from 1 species
CGUGUAGGCGGCCAGAUAGGUCUGCUGUGAAAACUCGAGGCUCAACCUCGAGCUGUCGGCGGAAACCAUCUGGCUAGAGUCCGGAAGAGGAGAGUGGAAUUCCCGGUGUAGCGGUGAAAUGCGCAGAUAUCGGGAAGAACACCAGUGGCGAAGGCGGCUCUCUGGGACGGUACUGACGCUGAGACGCGAAAGCGUGGGAGCAAACA